UGGGGAAUUUUGGACAAUGGGCGAAAGCCUGAUCCAGCAAUGCCGCGUGUGUGAAGAAGGCCUUCGGGUUGUAAAGCACUUUUGUCCGGAAAGAAAUCCUUGGCUCUAAUACAGUCGGGGGAUGACGGUACCGGAAGAAUAAGCACCGGCUAACUACGUGCCAGCAGCCGCGGUAAUACGUAGGGUGCAAGCGUUAAUCGGAAUUACUGGGCGUAAAGCGUGCGCAGGCGGUUUGCUAAGACCGAUGUGAAAUCCCCGGGCUCAACCUGGGAACUGCAUUGGUGACUGGCAGGCUAGAGUAUGGCAGAGGGGGGUAGAAUUCCACGUGUAGCAGUGAAAUGCGUAGAGAUGUGGAGGAAUACCGAUGGCGAAGGCAGCCCCCUGGGCCAAUACUGACGCUCAUGCACGAAAGCGUGGGGAGCAAACAGGAUUAGAUACCCUGGUAGUCCACGCCCUAAAACGAUGUCAACUAGUUGUUGGGGAUUCAUUUCCUUAGUAACGUAGCUAACGCGUGAAGUUGACCGCCUGGGGAGUACGGUCGCGAGAUUAAAACUCAAAUGAAUUGACGGGGUCAUAGCUGUUUCCU
rnacentral:rRNA from 1 species